AUUAUUUUUUUUUUUUUGUUAUUUUUUUAAUUGAAGCAGUUUACACGUCUUAAUGUGGGCAGUUAAACUAAAUUUAAUAUUAUUUUAAUCCAUCAGAACUUGUAAUCAUGGGAAAAUAGCAAAAGCACUUGAUUAUGAUUUUUUUCCAUUCAAACGCUUGAUUGUUGCACCAAAAGAAAAAAAAUUCAGAUACUGAUUGAAAAUACUAAUAAGUUUAUGACACCCAAAAUGUUAUUAUCCUUAAAUGAAUGGUGUUUGGUUGUCCUUGAUUUUAUAUGCUUUUUUGUGGAUAAUUAUGGCAUGAUCUCACAUUGAAUGAGGGUUUAGCGUAGAUGAUGAAUGAUAAUGGUUUGACUUUGCACACAAUGUUUUCACUUCACAUGCACUGCUAUCUGACUUUGAAAAUUUAUACUGUUGGCAUAAACUUGGUUCUGGUAUCUCAAAGCAUAAUUCUGAAAUUCGGAAGAAUAUUCUUAAGCUUGGGUAGUAGUUUU
rnacentral:misc_RNA from 1 species